CACUCUUAUUGAAUGCUGUUUCUGUUUGUGUGAAAAAUAUCUCAUCUCAUCUCUGUAGCUUCUCUAUCCGAUUCUCAUUUCUUUACUUCAAAUAUGAUUUGUAAAUACGGAAAAUCUGACUUUUAUGAAGUGGGUUAUGUAAAUUGAGGUGAAAUGUUUGGUUUCUUCGGCAAUGUGGUUGUUGUUGUGAGAGUCCGAAUUCAGAGACUUCUUGAGAUUCUGAUGUUUUUUAAGUUGAAAUUUCGAUCCAAUCGACAGCAAAGUCCAGGACUGAAGGUAACCAUUUUGAGUUUACUUAAUGUCAUCGCAGUCGAGUGCCCAUUAUUCACUUUUCCAUCAAUCACCACUGACUGCAAGGCACCUGUCUGUAAUAACCACUGACGAUAGGACUAUGAGGCACAAGUCAUACUAGGAAGAUUUCCUCAUCGGCAUGAGAUAUUUUAACGGACCCGUCCAAGAAUACUACAGAUUCGGCGGAAGAAGUAAUGCCUUGGCGGCUGAACAAAUAUGUUUAAAAAAAUAAGGCUUCACUUCGACUCAGAAAUAGCUGAGGCACUGGCCAUCAUAGCCAGCAUGGGCUAAAGAGAGAAAUGAAAAGAAGAUGCUGAUUUUUUGUUUUGUGAUAGCAAGAAUAUGUAUAAUCUUGUGAUGGGUGAAGUCAACAGUUGCUGCUGGACAACCAAGGGAAUUAUUGGAGAUAGCUGGUAGUUUCUUGAAUUUUUUGAUGACUUUUAAAUUCUUAGUGUUGAUAGAAAAGAUGUUAGUAGUAUAGCAGAUAUAUUAGUUAAGUAUGCUAGGAAAGCUAAUGCCAAACUCUUGGACUCUAUAAAUCUAUCUUCUCGGGACAAAGUGUCGGUCCCUGUAUCAUCUCCCAUAAUAAA